rnacentral:rRNA from 1 species
AAAGGAGCAAUCCGCUUUGAGAUGGCCUCGCGUCCGAUUAGCUAGUUGGUGAGGUAACGGCCCACCAAGGCGACGAUCGGUAGCCGGACUGAGAGGUUGAACGGCCACAUUGGGACUGAGACACGGCCCAGACUCCUACGGGAGGCAGCAGUGGGGAAUAUUGCACAAUGGGGGAAACCCUGAUGCAGCGACGCCGCGUGGAGGAAGAAGGUCUUCGGAUUGUAAACUCCUGUUGUUGAGGAAGAUAAUGACGGUACUCAACAAGGAAGUGACGGCUAACUACGUGCCAGCAGCCGCGGUAAAACGUAGGUCACAAGCGUUGUCCGGAAUUACUGGGUGUAAAGGGAGCGCAGGCGGGAAGACAAGUUGGAAGUGAAAUCUAUGGGCUUAACCCAUAAACUGCUUUCAAAACUGUUUUUCUUGAGUAGUGCAGAGGUAGGCGGAAUUCCCGGUGUAGCGGUGGAAUGCGUAGAUAUCGGGAGGAACACCAGUGGCGAAGGCGGCCUACUGGGCACCAACUGACGCUGAGGCUCGAAAGUGUGGGUAGCAAACAGGAUUAGAUACCCUGGUAGUCCACACUGUAAACGAUGAUUACUAGGUGUUGGAGGAUUGACCCCUUCAGUGCCGCAGUUAACACAAUA